rnacentral:rRNA from 1 species
GCGUAUAUUUAAGUUGUUGUAGUUAAAAAGCUCGUAGUUGGAUUUCGGUUGAGAGCGGCCGGUCCGCCGUUUGGUGUGCACUGGCUGGUUUCAGCUUCCUGCAGAGGACGCGCUCUGGGCUUAAUCGUCUGGACGUGGAGUCUGCGUGGUUACUUUGAAAAAAUUAGAGUGUUCAAAGCGGGCUUACGCUUGAAUAUUUCAGCAUGGAAUAACACUAUAGGACUCCUGUCCUAUUUCGUUGGUCUCGGGACGGGAGUAAUGAUUAAGAGGAACAGUUGGGGGCAUUCGUAUUUCAAUGUCAGAGGUGAAAUUCUUGGAUUUUUGAGAGACGAACUUCUGCGAAAGCAUUUGCCAAGGAUGUUUUCAUUAAUCAAGAACGAAAGUUGGGGGCUCGAAGAUGAUUAGAUACCAUCCUAGUCUCAACCAUAAACGAUGCCGACUAGGGAUUGGCGGAUGUUAAUUGAUGACUCCGCCAGCACCUUAUGAGAAAUCAAAGUUUUUGGGUUCCGGGGGGAGUAUGGUCGCAAGGCUGAAACUUAAAGGAAU